rnacentral:rRNA from 1 species
AUGAACGCUGGCGGCGUGCCUAAUACAUGCAAGUCGAGCGAACGGACGAGAAGCUUGCUUCUCUGAUGUUAGCGGCGGACGGGUGAGUAACACGUGGAUAACCUACCUAUAAGACUGGGAUAACUUCGGGAAACCGGAGCUAAUACCGGAUGAUGUUUUGAACCGCAUGGUUCAAAAGUGAAAGACGGUCUUGCUGUCACUUAUAGAUGGAUCCGCGCUGCAUUAGCUAGUUGGUAAGGUAACGGCUUACCAAGGCAACGAUGCAUAGCCGACCUGAGAGGGUGAUCGGCCACACUGGAACUGAGACACGGUCCAGACUCCUACGGGAGGCAGCAGUAGGGAAUCUUCCGCAAUGGGCGAAAGCCUGACGGAGCAACGCCGCGUGAGUGAUGAAGGUCUUCGGAUCGUAAAACUCUGUUAUUAGGGAAGAACAUAUGUGUAAGUAACUGUGCACAUCUUGACGGUACCUAAUCAGAAAGCCACGGCUAACUACGUG